GAUGAAGAACGUAGCGAAAUGCGAUAAGUAGUGUGAAUUGCAGAAUUCAGUGAAUCAUCGAAUAUUUGAACGCACAUUGCGCCUCUUGGUAUUCCAUGGGGCAUGCCUGUUCGAGCGUCAUUUGUACCUUCAAGCUCUGCUUGGUGUUGGGUGUUUGUCUCGCCUCUGCGUGUAGACUCGCCUCAAAACAAUUGGCAGCCGGCGUAUUGAUUUCGGAGCGCAGUACAUCUCGCGCUUUGCACUCAUAACGACGACGUCCAAAAGUACAUUUUUACACUCUUGACCUCGGAUCAGGUAGGGAUACCCGCUGAACUUAAGCAUAUCAAUAAGCGGAGGA
rnacentral:misc_RNA from 1 species